rnacentral:rRNA from 1 species
GAACGCGAAGAACCUUACCAAGUCUUGACAUCCUUUGACCACUCUAGAGAUAGAGCUUUCCCUUCGGGGACAAAGUGACAGGUGGUGCAUGGUUGUCGUCAGCUCGUGUCGUGAGAUGUUGGGUUAAGUCCCGCAACGAGCGCAACCCUUAUUACUAGUUGCCAGCAUUCGGUUGGGCACUCUAGUGAGACUGCCGGUGACAAACCGGAGGAAGGUGGGGAUGACGUCAAAUCAUCAUGCCCCUUAUGACUUGGGCUACACACGUGCUACAAUGGAUGGUACAACGAGCAGCGAACUCGCGAGGGUAAGCGAAUCUCUUAAAGCCAUUCUCAGUUCGGAUUGUAGGCUGCAACUCGCCUACAUGAAGCCGGAAUCGCUAGUAAUCGCGGAUCAGCACGCCGCGGUGAAUACGUUCCCGGGUCUUGUACACACC